rnacentral:lncRNA from 1 species
GCCUGCUCUAGUCAGGUAUCCUUAGAGACUCACAGUUUGGCAGCAGAGAAGGAAGUCUGGCCAAAAGAGCACCGGACUGGAGAGUCCGCUCAAGGAGAAAAGGGAGAGAGAGAUAGAGCACGAUACAGAGAAGUUUCACUUUAAUGGAAGUCGUGAGCUUCCUCUAAAGGUCUCUUAAUGCCUCCUACAUGUGACAGCUGAUUUAUCACUCCUUAUGAGAGUUUGAUGGUGGCAGUGUCACAAGGGCUGAGACCUCAAUAUCAAUAAGAAUGAGUCAUCCUUUCAAAAUCUCUGCCACUUUGCUCUGAACAGGAAUUGAUUUGGUGGGAUAUAUGUCCUUAGAUUGAUCCUCAAGCUUUUCAUAUGUUAAACAGUUCUUAAAGGGACAAUUCAUCUAAAGUGUAACACUCUCUUAUUAUUGACUCACCCUCAUGUCAUUGCCGUCUUUCUUUAAUCCGCACCUUCAACAAUCAGCAUAAACAAAUCAUAAACACAGCCUGUUUGAUUUGUACUUUUCAGAAGCUGUUUUAAUCUGUUAUCCAUGGAAAAUCUUCCCCAUCUUCCACAGCUCUCAAAUCUCAUUUGUGCAUGCGUUUAAUUUAAAUAUAGUAGAUGCAUUGCAUCAGCUUUUACAUCAAUGAUGAGACACGAAAAUCAGUUGUGUUUGGAACAAAAUUAAGUAAAUGACCUUUUUUUUGCCUUAACUCUCCCCAUAAGACAGUCACAGAGAAUCCAUUCACAAAGAAUAAUCAUGAGUGAAUUGAUGAAACAGAAUAACUUCCCAUCCCUUGAAUUGGCCGAAGUAUUCCCAACUGCUCAGGCCCUAUUCAACCUCAGCAUCAAAGGUUCCCUGGCAUUGGCUUGGCAAUCCAUGGAGAAUUCCAAUGGGAUUAAUAAUUCAGAAAUCAUUCGGGUGAGAGCACAGUAAGGUCCUGUGAGAUUUGACAAAAAGAUCACACACAACGGAGGAGGAGUAAGCAUGAGUCUCCAGUGAGAUAGGAGAGAAAACCAAGUGUUGGCUAGGAAAUGGAGGAGGAAGGGGAUAAUCUCAUCACAAGAUACGGUAUGAAUGUCCAAAGGGACCAGUGAGAGUGUAUCACUUGGAGCGGAGAUAGAUUAGGUCACUCCAAGGAGCACAUGAUGGCUUUUCCUGCUAUCAUUUUGGACAAAAAAGAAAGGAAUGAAGAUCUUUAAGAAGGUUUAAAAGUGGAUAAUACAGAUAAAAAUGUCUCAGUGUGAAGAAACAAAGACAAAUUGGCAUAAACAAUCUUCCAAGUCGGUAAAAAAAUGAUGCUUUGAUGUAAUAAACCAUGGCUAGAUGAAGGGAUACACCGAUGGAUAGAUCCACAGGUAAACCAGAAGAGUAAUAGAUGCUCCAACAAGGAACAUCAAAGUAAGGUCACAGCAAGACUAAAUAUUCAGUAAGAAAAUUUUGUUUGACGACUAAACAUUUUUAAUUUGAAUCUAUUAAGACCAAUACAAACAUUCACAUGUCAUCAAUGAGACCAUUUUU